UACAGAGGGGGCAAGCGUUGUUCGGAAUCACUGGGCUUAAAGGGUGCGUAGGCGGGCCGAAAAGUCAGGGGUGAAAGCCUCCAGCUUAACUGGAGAAGUGCCUUUGAUACUGGCGGUCUUGAGGAAGGUAGGGGCAUGCGGAACUGAUGGUGGAGCGGUGAAAUGUGUUGAUAUCAUCAGGAACUCCGGUGGCGAAAGCGGCGUGCUGGACCUUUCUGACGCUGAUGCACGAAAGCCAGGGGAGCAAACGGG
rnacentral:rRNA from 1 species